rnacentral:rRNA from 1 species
UCUGGUGUUGAAGGCCCUGCAAAGCAGCAUCGCGGUGGCGGAGCGUCGUUUGCGACGCCCAACACACAAAACAAGCGGUGAGUGCUUUGGGGUGGGGUGACUGCGUACCUUUUGUAUAAUGGGUCAGCGACUUAUAUUCUGUAGCAAGGUUAACCGUAUAGGGGAGCCGUAGGGAAACCGAGUCUUAACCGGGCGUUAAGUUGCAGGGUAUAGACCCGAAACCCGGUGAUCUAGCCAUGGGCAGGUUGAAGGUUGGGUAACACUAACUGGAGGACCGAACCGACUAAUGUUGAAAAAUUAGCGGAUGACCUGUGGCUGGGGGUGAAAGGCCAAUCAAACCGGGAGAUAGCUGGUUCUCCCCGAAAGCUAUUUAGGUAGCGCCUCGUGAAUUCAUCUCCGGGGGUAGAGCACUGUUUCGGCUAGGGGGCCAUCCCGGCUUACCAACCCGAUGCAAACUGCGAAUACCGGAGAAUGUUAUCACGGGAGACACACGGCGGGUGCUAACGUCCGUCGUGAAGAGGGAAACAACCCAGACCGCCAGCUAAGGUCCCAAAGUCAUGGUUAAGUGGGAAACGAUGUGGGAAGGCCCAGACAGCCAGGAUGUUGGCUUAGAAGCAGCCAUCAUUUAAAGAAAGCGUAAUAGCUCACUGGUCGAGUCGGCCUGCGCGGAAGAUGUAACGGGGCUAAACCAU